CAGCACUGAUUUGAGGGACUGUGAAAUCGUGACUCGAAAACUUGCAAAAACACUCGAAAACUUGCAAAUGUGCUCGAAAACCUAAAAAUUCGUCGAAUAUGGAAGAAAUCGUGGAUGUUUUGGACGAUAGCGGUGCUUUGCUGUACAUGGGAAGUGUUUUGUCUGAAUCGUGCGAGGAAUUAGAGAUAUUAAUGGAAUAUUUAUCUCUUGAAGACGAUGAUGGUGAGUGUUGACAUUUUAUAGCAAUAUGCCUUUGACCCUUCGACUGUAAAAAUAUAUUAUAUAGGCGAGAUUUUGAUUAGGUUUUCGUGUUUUAUACUGUUUCAUAAAAGUGAUUGUACCUUUACAAGUUACAACUUCGUAAAAGCUGGGUAAAUGCUCUAUAAUACGGAUUAUUUUUAUUUAAUUCUGCAGAAUAAUUUCCACGCGCUAUUUUAUAUAAAUAUAUACGCCAAUUAACAUGUCAACAAAUAUAAAGUCAACAAGAAGUCCUGCUCAGGGGAAACAUGAACUGAACCGCCCUCGUCUAACCGUUUUGCCAAAAACGAACAUAUUUUAUGUUGGUCUUAAGAGUUAAGUUACUCGUUGUUUUUGCCAAAUGUGUAAGACUUUUCACUUUUGCAAUAGCAAUAUGUGAAAAUGCUGAAUAAUAAUUUUUUUAAUGUCAAUUAUUUAGCCAAUGGGGAUCUCAGGUUCUAGCUCCUUGGUUAGUCGUCGGCAUUUGAGGUUUAGGAGUUCUGAACAGGCCUCCAUGUUAUGGAUUUAUUUUAACCUCAGUGUUUUACCUAGACACCCCCCCCCCCUCAGGUUCAGCAUUACCACGUCAUCACCAGUUAAUAGGGCUGGGCAAUAUUUUGAUAUUAUCAAUGAUACACGAUGAUUGUACAUACUCAAGAUCAUCAUAUUGAAAGUAAACGCUGAGCCGUGAUGGAGUUAUCGUAAGGGCCGAACUAACAAAGCUUAAUAAUAUAAAAUCUUAAAAAAACAAUGUUAAUUAAUCCAUCCCUUUAUUAUUUUGUUUGAUAAUUGCCAAGGAUUUCACACAGAAUCCCCUCCCCCAAUACCCCCAAGUGAAUCCAUCCCACUACUACACAAAAUAAUACUUCUUUCCCUCCGAGUCAGAGACGGAUUUUCAUACUUUCGUUCAGGGGGUGGAUAAUAUCUGGGGAGGGUGCUGCUGCUUGCUUUGUCCAGGGCAUGGUGGCAGCACCCAGAAAGGCCAAGGAAAAAGUUUAACAAAAUUUUUUCUAGGCCUGCAUGGCGAGAUCUGAGACCAUAAUAUUGGUAAUUUUACAAAUUUAGUAGUAAGAAUAAUCAAAUAUGAAACUAUCAAAUCGAAAUAUAUGUAAUUUGCAGAGGUGCCAAAUGCCUUUGGGAGGUGCAAAUCAUUUCUGGGAGGGUGUGCACCCCCCCCCCCCACACACACACACAGAAAAUCUGUGCCAAUUAACAAUGAAAGCAUUUUUUUACAGAUCUCUGCAAUAUUAUGUUUACAAGUUCCUUGAAGAUAUGAUUAUAAUAAAUGGUGACAUAUGUCUGUACAUUGUAGAGCAUUUUGUACAUAUUUUGUACUUAUAUUACUGAGGCCAAAUAAACAUAAUAGUUG
rnacentral:lncRNA from 1 species